rnacentral:rRNA from 1 species
CCGCACAAGCGGCGGAGCAUGCGGAUUAAUUCGAUGCAACGCGAAGAACCUUACCAAGGCUUGACAUAUACAGGAAAAGCGUAGAAAUACGCUCCCCGCAAGGUCUGUAUACAGGUGGUGCAUGGUUGUCGUCAGCUCGUGUCGUGAGAUGUUGGGUUAAGUCCCGCAACGAGCGCAACCCUCGUCCUAUGUUGCCAGCACGUAAUGGUGGGAACUCAUGGGAGACUGCCGGGGUCAACUCGGAGGAAGGUGGGGAUGACGUCAAAUCAUCAUGCCCCUUAUGUCUUGGGCUUCACGCAUGCUACAAUGGCCGGUACAAAGGGCUGCAAUACCGCAAGGUGGAGCGAAUCCCAUAAAGCCGGUCUCAGUUCGGAUUGGGGUCUGCAACUCGACCCCAUGAAGUCGGAGUCGCUAGUAAUCGUAGAUCAGCAACGCUACGGUGAAUACGUUCCCGGGCCUUGUACACACCGCCCGUCAAGUCACGAAAGUC